AAAUCCGUGUUCUCGCAUCAGACUGAGAAAAACAUGAACAGAAUAAUCAUUCAGAUCAACCAAUUCGUGCUAUUUUCAAGACCCGCAAUGUACAAUUUGGAGGAUAAGGGCCAUCACUAGUCUAAUCCAUACUUUUAUACAAGCAGCAAAAAAAGACAACUAAAAAGGUCACACCCUCUGAUUAAUGCCAAAUGACAGAGAAAGAUAAUCCAACAGGUCCUGGAUGAAGAAUAAACCACCGCAAAGCCUGAAAACCACCUUUUCCCGCAGUAGAACAAAAGGUGAAAACCUGAUUAUUUAAAAUUGAGUACAUUCUGCCCCAUCCAAAUGUCCCAACUAUUUUGAUAUCCUUUCUACCAUCAAGCACUAAAAUUUGAUCAUCAAUUAAGGGGAAGACAUAGCAAUAGCACACUCAUGAAAACAAGAAAUACUUGGGAAAUGCAGAUUACUUCUGCAAUCUGCAUCCUUUUAUCCCUAAACAGAGUAAAUGUAUAGGUAUAUUAAUUAAUGAAGUAUGCAUUAUGUAUGUAUCAGUGAUAUGCAGAUCAUAUAGGAGUAUAACUUAAAAUCACAUGACUAAAUGACCUAAAAUGCAGAUUCUAGUUGUCCUUCACUGCAUCAUGGAGCAAAUACAUUGAGCGAGCAAGGCUGCACAACUACUCCAUCUAAUUUCACUUUACCUUUAUCUUUUCCUCUCCCCUGCCUUACCUCAAAAAUUCCUAAAAUGUAACCAACUUGCUAGUUAAUAAUAAUGAAAGAUACUAUCCUUUAACAAUAACAACUGUGGUUAACAGUAAAUGCCAGUUAGAAAACAACUGAUAUAUGGUCAUGGUGAUCACUUUACCAUAUGACUAUUUAGGCAUCCAAGUAGAUCUAUU
rnacentral:misc_RNA from 1 species